GCUGGGCAUGGUGGUGGAUGCCUGUAAUCCCAGCUACUCAGGAGGCUGAGGCAUAAGAAUCACUUGAACCUGGGAGGCAGAGGUUGCAGUGAGCUGAGAUCGUGCCACUGCACUCUAGCCUGGGCAACAAAGUGAGACUCUGCCUCAA
rnacentral:SRP_RNA from 1 species